UAAUAUCCGACAAACAUAAAUAGACUGCAGACCAGUUUACUGAAUUACUCCCGAGUACGAUCUUGUAACGGUAGGAAAUACAACAUGUCAUACACCAAGGUUCUCUUUGCUUUGACGCUGUGCGUACUGUUGUACACAGGUGCAGAUGCUGUUAGAUGCGAAUGUUCAGACGCUGUGUGUUCCUGCCUGGAUAAGUGUCCAAGGAACUAUGGAGUACCUGCAUAUGACAUCGACUGCCCAUCAGCCUCUCAGACUUGCUGUAUUAAGAAUCCCGAAAACCCUGCGUCUGGAGAACUAGAAGAUAUUAUGUCACUAUACAGAUUUUACGAAAGACAAGAAGAGCUUGCACAAGAAAUUGCAAACAGAAACUUUUAAAUAUAUGUAUUAUUAGAUGUUUUAAAACAGUCAUUAAUUAAGCCAGUUUAUUAAAUUGAUUAUUUCUUAAUAAA